AGACCCGAAACCCGGUGAUCUAGCCAUGGGCAGGUUGAAGGUUGGGUAACACUAACUGGAGGACCGAACCGACUAAUGUUGAAAAAUUAGCGGAUGACCUGUGGCUGGGGGUGAAAGGCCAAUCAAACCGGGAGAUAGCUGGUUCUCCCCGAAAGCUAUUUAGGUAGCGCCUCGUGAAUUCAUCUCCGGGGGUAGAGCACUGUUUCGGCUAGGGGGCCAUCCCGGCUUACCAACCCGAUGCAAACUGCGAAUACCGGAGAAUGUUAUCACGGGAGACACACGGCGGGUGCUAACGUCCGUCGUGAAGAGGGAAACAACCCAGACCGCCAGCUAAGGUCCCAAAGUCAUGGUUAAGUGGGAAACGAUGUGGGAAGGCCCAGACAGCCAGGAUGUUGGCUUAGAAGCAGCCAUCAUUUAAAGAAAGCGUAAUAGCUCACUGGUCGAGUCGGCCUGCGCGGAAGAUGUAACGGGGCUAAACCAUGCACCGAAGCUGCGGCAGCGACACUCAGGUGUUGUUGGGUAGGGGAGCGUUCUGUAAGCCUGUGAAGGUGGCCUGUGAGGGUUGCUGGAGGUAUCAGAAGUGCGAAUGCUGACAUAAGUAACGAUAAAGCGGGUGAAAAGCCCGCUCGCCGGAAGACCAAGGGUUCCUGUCCAACGUUAAUCGGGGCAGGGUGAGUCGACCCCUAAGGCGAGGCCGAAAGGCGUAGUCGAUGGGAAACGGGUUAAUAUUCCCGUACUUGGUGUUACUGCGAAGGGGGGACGGAGAAGGCUAUGUUGGCCGGGCGACGGUUGUCCCGGUUUAAGCGUGUAGGUGUGUGUUCCAGGUAAAUCCGGUUCACUUUAACACUGAGGCGUGACGACGAGGCACUACGGUGCUGAAGCAACAAAUGCCCUGCUUCCAGGAAAAGCCUCUAAGCAUCAGGUAACAUCAAAUCGUACCCCAAACCGACACAGGUGGUCAGGUAGAGAAUACCAAGGCGCUUGAGAGAACUCGGGUGAAGGAACUAGGCAAAAUGGUGCCGUAACUUCGGGAGAAGGCACGCUGACACGUAGGUGAAGUGAUUUACUCAUGGAGCUGAAGUCAGUCGAAGAUACCAGCUGGCUGCAACUGUUUAUUAAAAACACAGCACUGUGCAAACACGAAAGUGGACGUAUACGGUGUGACGCCUGCCCGGUGCCGGAAGGUUAAUUGAUGGGGUCAGCGCAAGCGAAGCUCCUGAUCGAAGCCCCGGUAAACGGCGGCCGUAACUAUAACGGUCCUAAGGUAGCGAAAUUCCUUGUCGGGUAAGUUCCGACCUGCACGAAUGGCGUAAUGAUGGCCAGGCUGUCUCCACCCGAGACUCAGUGAAAUUGAACUCGCUGUGAAGAUGCAGUGUACCCGCGGCAAGACGGAAAGACCCCGUGAACCUUUACUAUAGCUUGACACUGAACAUUGAGCCUUGAUGUGUAG
rnacentral:rRNA from 2 species